UACGGGAGGCAGCAGUGGGGAAUAUUGCACAAUGGGCGAAAGCCUGAUGCAGCUAUGCCGCGUGUAUGAAGAAGGCCUUAGGGUUGUAAAGUACUUUCAUCGGGGAGGAAAAAACAAAACUAAUAAUUUUAUUUUCUUUGACGUUACCCGAAAAAGAAGCACCGGCUAACUCCGUGCCAGCAGCCGCGGUAAUACGGAGGGUGCUAGCGUUAAUCAGAAUUACUGGGCGUAAAGAGCACGUAGGUGGUUUUUUUAAGUUCAGAUGUGAAAUCCCUGGGCUUAACCUAGGAACUACAUUUUGAAACUGAAAUACUAGAGUAUCGUAGAGGGAGGUAGAAUUCUAGGUGUAGCGGUGAAAUGCGUAGAUAUCUGGAGGAAUACCUGUGGCGAAAGACGGCCUCCUAAACGAAUACUGACACUGAGGUGCGAAAGCGUGGGGAGCAAACAGGGAUUAGAUACC
rnacentral:rRNA from 1 species